rnacentral:lncRNA from 1 species
UGGAUUCGCAAGCAAAACUUUUGGAUUCGCAAGCAAAACUUUUUGAUUCGCAAACAAAACUUUUGGAUUCGCAAACAAAACUUUUGGAUUUGCAAUCAAAACUUUUGGAUUUGCAAACAAAACUUUUGGAUUCCCAUUCAUACAAUUUUUAUCACAUUAAUUUAUCUUGCAAUAAAAUUUUUUUUGAUUGCAGUGUCGAUAGUUAUGCUCUGAAAUCUAUUUUUUGAUUGCAGUGUGGAAAGUUUUGCUCUCAAACCUAUUUUUUGAUUGCAGUGUGGAAAGUUUUGCUCUCAUACCUGUUAUUUUUGAUUGCAUAAUAAAGACACAAAUCUACCUCCAUAUUGAGCAGGCUGAGGACUGUGUGGAUCAUGAGGGCAAUGAACUGUUAUAAACUCCUAGUAACCAAAUCAAAUGUACUGCUGGAGAUUAACCUCCCAGACAUAAGCAAGGUGAUGUUAAAUUCUGGGAGUGCGCCUCUGCAUACAAGCAGAAGUGUAUUUCAGGCUCUACCACACAUUAACAUUAGACCACAGAGCAGCACCAUUACUGGUCAAAUAUACACCAAUUGCAUUAUAUUUAUUUUGUGUUUGCUAACUAUUUAAUUUGUUUUGUUCCUUUGUUUGUUCGAUUAUUGCUUUUCCCUUGGACAGAGGCCAUAAAAAUGCUCCUCAAUGGUAAUUGCUUUGAAUAAAUUAGGAGUAUCAGAGAAUGCUUUUCUAUUAAACGGACAAUGUAAUUGCACUGUUGCUGUAUCAUAAUGUCAGGAGUAGCUUUAUGCUACGUAAAUAACUCUGUACAAUAAGUACUGUUAUGUAAUUAUUUCUUUCUCCACUUGAGGCUGGGAGAUCUUUAUCAUCUAUCAGAUAGUACAACUUUAUACCCAUCAUGCUAUCUUUUCACCCCCUUUUUUUCCAUACCAAACUAAUGUUUUGUGGCAUAGGUUGGUGACCAUGUUAGAAUUAUCUUGUAAGCGUAAACAAUAUUUUUUGUCUUAUCAUAUGUAGGCAUGUGAUUUAUACAUAUUUCAAAGUAUAUAUUUUUUUCUUUUGAUGGUGUUGUUUCUUGCUGGCAAUUUUUUUUACUUUUAAGUCCUAGCUCUGUGCUGGUCAGUAAGUAUUUCUUAGUGACUCUUAAGGGGUACUGUACUGGUGUAUGUGUACAUCACAAGAAUUAGAAGCUGUUUUAACGGACCAGACCUAACACUUGUUUCCCAUGUCCAUUGAAGGCUGGGUAGUUCAGUAGUGAAUGGAAAGAGAGUCGUCCGAUAGACUUGGGUUAUCUGUGAUGACAUUUGCUCCCCCUCUCGACAACUGUUUCUGUGCAGGCACAGUGUGAGCAAUAAAUGUAUGCAAUUGAUUGUAUGUAGUAGACAGUUAGAGAAAACCUUUUUCUAAAAUCUGGACUUUUUGCUUUUAUUUGCCUUAUGUCUUCUUAUGUAUGCUUACACAAUGCUUAGAUUUUUUGUCAUUUUUGGGUUUUUAAUUUUCUGCUUUCAUAUGCUGUAAUCUGUAACAUGUUUUAAUGUCCAAAACAUAGUGAUUAAUUGCUAGCAAUUAGGCAUACUAGUUUGUGAAUAGAGCUAUGACACAGAAUCUACAUAGACAGUGAAUAUGAUUUUAUUUUCAACUAACUAACUAAAUUAAUUGUAUGUAUGUGUGUGUUUGUGUUUAAAUGUGUGAACGUUUUUAUCUAUUUAUUUGAUGUAGCUCCCUGCCUUAACAAGGGGACAACAGAAUUGAGUGGUCAUCACAGCACAAAGUGCUCCAAUAAAGAUAGUGUUCAUCAGUUUGGGGGAGUUUGUGUCCACAUGCUGAAAAAGUAAAACAUGUGUAGGCUUAAAAUCUAUUUAAAAUCUACUCAUAAGACAGAAAUAUGCUUUUUUUUAUAGUUGACAAUACAAAAGUGGCUGUAAUACAUUGCUAACGUUUCAACAUCCCAAAACCUUGUUCUUUAAAUGAAGCCAAAUCAUAUAUCGAUUCGUUUUUUUUUAAAGGAGACAUAUUAUGGUGUUUCUCAACAAGUGAACAUAUUCGAGUUCCAGAAAACAUGUUUUUGAAGCUGUUUGCUGGAAAUUGAUUUUAGGAAAAAAAAUCUCGCCUACCGCUAUUCCCCUUGGUUUCAGUCCCUUCAGAAUGCGCUGUUUCUGGUGUUUCUGUAGCUUUAAUGCAAAGGAGCUGCUGCCCAUUGACCAAUGAGCUGUAAGACUGAACCACAGCAUGGAGGAGAAGGGAUUGUUGCAGUUUGCGGACUCCUGGAGCUCUUUAUCUAUGUAAUAUAAUAAUAAUAUUACAUGGGUAUUUCAUUUUAUAUAAUGUAUCUAAUAUCAUGGCCAAAAGCUUUGUGCACCUCAGCAAUCAUAAAGACUGCGUCUGACGUCUCUGCUCCACAACAAGUAAAGACUCGUAGUGGAGGAUAUCUUGGCCAUGGUUGAGAAGAAUUGGGGGAAAGGAACUUUGGCCUUAACUCUCUGAAGUCCAUGAACCGGGACAUGGCGGAGAAAGGGAUUGUACUCCGGGAGCUGAGCUGUCGGACUGCCGCCCGAGCUCCCCGCGCUGGAGCUGCCGGACUGCCGCCGAGCUCCCCGCGCUGGAGCUGCCGGACUGCCGCUGAGCUCCCCCG